UUACCAUAACAGCACUUUUGUGUACCUGAUCAGCCAAAUACCUGACGUAUUCAUACUCUCUGAUGUUAGAAUUCUUUCCUAAGGGCUGUUUAGGACAUUUUGCUUAUUUCAGCUUGUUUUGACGUUUAGUACCGAAGACAACUAUAUUUUUUUUGUAAUCCCUAAGAUUGAUUUCUACUGACAAGACCGUUCUAGAAUGGGAUCACUUGUGCUUUUACAAGUCCUGGUAGUUGGACUCUGUGCAUCGUUUACUGUCAUCAGUUCGAGCUACUGUUACGUUACUAGAUCCAUCACGGUGGCCACAAGCCAAGCUUACUACGUGAACUGUGGUAUCUGGGGUUGGAAUUGGGCUACAUGCACAAGAUAUAGAUUGACAUACAGGGUCGUAUAUCAGCGGUUUAGAACAUGCUGCAGUGGUUGGACAGGAUAUCAGUGUAAUGAAGGUAAGUGUAAG